CUCCACCUUGCUGAAUGGGAGGCAGGACAUGGUGAAAACCAGGGGUACAGUUGAGCAGCACUGUGAAAAGAGGAACUUCAGAGGGAAGCAGUGGUGAAAAGGAUGUAAGAUGUUAGUGGAUGUGAAGAAGCAGUGGUGUGAAAAUAUAGCAUGCAGAUCAUUUUCAAGGUCAGCCCAGACAUUAUUUUUGGAAGUGUGUAGAUAAAAGCAGCAUGGAUCAGGAUGUCCUUCACAGCACAAGCACGAUGAAUCCAUGCUUUGGUCUGCAGUGUGCUCUGCAGUGUGGUGAACAAAGGAAAGGAAAACUUUAGAUCUUCUCUGAAUGAUUUCAGAUCUAACAGCAAGCGAGGCAUGAUGCCACACAAACGAGCUUGGAGUCCCGACCAAGCACUGUGGGCUCAGAUAUCAUGCACCUUCAUCCACGGGCAGAACCAGAGUAUUCCCACAGACACUGGAACUCUCUCACAUUUCUGCUCUGAAACAACAGACCCAGGCAAUCCAGGGAAAUGGAUGCUUGGUGUGAUUUAAAAUCUUCAUAGUGAAGAGAAAAUGGAAUAGGAAUGAAAAUUUUUGAAGCAGUUACAUCCCUCAAAGAGAAUACUGGCCACACUAAUUCUGUAAUUUGUGAUAAAUUCAUUCAUUAUUAAAAAAUAACUAAAUAAUCUGCAUGUGUCUCUGCUGUGCCAGCAACAUCAUCUAUAUGGAUCACUGCUUUGCCUAAGAGAGGAAGACAUCCAAUUUAGAAAUCAGUCGGUUUGGGAGAGGGAAAUGGUUAUUUUGUCUCAGAGGCUGCAUUUUGCUAGCAUAAAAGAAGAAUCACUUUUUGAAAGCAUUUUCAUCUGUAUGAACUUGUCCACACAGGUAGGGCAAUUCUUCAUAACCAAAUAACUUCCUGAGAAAAUCACCUUGUAACAAGUUUUAAGAUGAAACCCUGACAAACCCAUCCUUCUUCCUUGGAAAUGUGCUUUGCAGUGUUGCAAAAAUCAUGAGGCCAAA
rnacentral:lncRNA from 1 species